rnacentral:rRNA from 1 species
UACGAAGGGGGCUAGCGUUGUUCGGAAUUACUGGGCGUAAAGAGCGUGUAGGCGGUUUGGUAGGUCCGCUGUGAAAACUCGAGGCUCAACCUCGAGACGCCGGUGGAAACCAUCAGACUAGAGUCCGGAAGAGGAGAGUGGAAUUCCUGGUGUAGCGGUGAAAUGCGCAGAUAUCAGGAGGAACACCGGUGGCGAAGGCGGGUCUCUGGGCCGAUACUGACGCUGAGGAGCGAAAGCGUGGGGAGCGAACAGG